AUAGUGCAAGUUUAAUACUUUUAUUUUUGGUCGCGGGAAGAAAAGUGUGUGUGUGUGUGUGUGUGUGUGUGUGUUUCAUGAAUGAGCUCCGGUUUGGCUGGGAUUAUCGUCUCUUAUCUGCACAUCUCAGCUCGCGGGAACCUCGGCGCGCGGUGCACACAUGGCGCAUUCUGGAGAAACUGCGGAGCUGCGCGACGGGAAUGGAGAGGUUUCACCAUCAGACCUGAAGGAUCAUCCUGCUGAAAGGUCUCACAGCAGUGCAGAUAACACAUCAACUGAGGAGAGCUCGGAGGAAGAGGAAACCCAUGAAGAGGAAGAGGAAAGAGAAUCAGGUUGA
rnacentral:lncRNA from 1 species